GUGGGGAAUAUUGGACAAUGGGCGAAAGCCUGAUCCAGCAACGCCGCGUGAGGGAUGACGGCCUUCGGGUUGUAAACCUCUUUCACCUAUGACGAAGCGAAAGUGACGGUAGUAGGAGAAGAAGCACCGGCCAACUACGUGCCAGCAGCCGCGGUAAUACGUAGGGUGCAAGCGUUGUCCGGAAUUAUUGGGCGUAAAGGGCUCGUAGGCGGUCUGUCGCGUCGGGAGUGAAAACUCAGGGCUUAACCCUGAGCCUGCUUCCGAUACGGGCAGACUAGAGGUAUGCAGGGGAGAACGGAAUUCCUGGUGUAGCGGUGAAAUGCGCAGAUAUCAGGAGGAACACCGGUGGCGAAGGCGGUUCUCUGGGCAUUACCUGACGCUGAGGAGCGAAAGUGUGGGGAGCGAACAGG
rnacentral:rRNA from 1 species